rnacentral:rRNA from 1 species
AACGAAUGCUGGCGGCAUGCCUAACACAUGCAAGUCGAACGAGAUCUUCGGGUCUAGUGGCGCACGGGUGCGUAACGCGUGGGAAUCUGCCCUUUGGUUCGGAAUAACCGUUGGAAACGACUGCUAAUACCGGAUGAUGACGAAAGUCCAAAGAUUUAUCGCCAGAGGAUGAGCCCGCGUAGGAUUAGCUAGUUGGUGUGGUAAAGGCGCACCAAGGCGACGAUCCUUAGCUGGUCUGAGAGGAUGAUCAGCCACACUGGGACUGAGACACGGCCCAGACUCCUACGGGAGGCAGCAGUGGGGAAUAUUGGACAAUGGGCGAAAGCCUGAUCCAGCAAUGCCGCGUGAGUGAUGAAGGCCUUAGGGUUGUGAAGCUCUUUUACCCGGGAUGAUAAUGACAGUACCGGGAGAAUAAGCUCCGGCUAACUCCGUGCCAGCAGCCGCAGUAA